GAAUAAGCUAUUCUGCACCCGGGUCGGUCCAACGAGCCGCUGGUCGGUCCAAACCAGCCGGAUUCCAGCGCGAACGUAUUUUCUCUGAACCGAACGUAACCUUUUUUUUCCUUUUACGAUGGUCGUUUCUCUCUUGAACCCACCUCCCCACGAAAAAAACCCAAACCCCGAAACCACCCCCAAAUCGUGCGUGCGGUUAGGGUGGCGAGCUGCUGCAGUACAAAUUGCGGCGAGCAUAGGCGGCGCCAGUGGCAGCUCUGGAAGGAACGGUCGGUGGCAGCUGAGAGGAGCGGCGUGCGAGAGAAGAUGCGUGGCGGCGACGGGCGACGCGGCGGGCCGGCUCGACCCUAGGCGGCACCGGCGGUUGCAGCCGAGGCGGUGGCUUCAACGACGACGGCUGGGGCCUGAGCGAGGAGAAGCUCGACAAGCUCGAGCGGGAGGCCUACCGCGAGCUCGCCGAGCGCAAGGCCUCCUCCUCCAGCGCCUCGACCUCUCCCGCGACUUCACCGCUGCGGCCGGUGGCGACGUGCGAGUGGCCUCAGCGAGCAGUCGCUGUCGUACUCGGCGGGGCUUGCUCCGAUGUCGCUGGAGUUAUCAAAUCGUGCUUGCGGUUCGGGUGGAGUUGGCGAGAGGCGAGCCUAGGCGACGGUGGCCGCCUCGACGACGACUGGGGCCACCGCGUGCUCGGUGAGGGCGAGGCGGCUCACCCGGCGCGACCGUCCAGGGUGAGGAACCCCGACAUCAACCUGAGGUGACAGCGCCUGCGUCUCUCUCCGGCGAAGAGCUCGGCAUCUCUCCUCCGGCGAAGCGCGUCCCAGCGACGCAAAGGCGGAUCCCGCCUCUGCCUCCACUUCUCCCCGAUUGGCGGCGCCCCUUGGCUCCGCACGACGUGACCGUCCAGGGCCAGGCGCUUCGCCGAUGACGCGCACACGCUCGUCUCUGAUGCCUCCUCACCGGAAGCUCCUCCCCCGGCCGCGACGGUGACCUCGCUGCCACCGUGGCCACCGACAUCGGCCAAUCCCGUCGUACUUGCCGCUGCUUCCGCAGACUCCACCCUGUGGCCUUCUUGUUAUCAUGGUGGUGGUAAUGGUGUACUAAAGUCUAAAGCUGACAAGAUUUGUGACCUGAAAACUUAUGCAAUCUUAGAUGUUGCAUAAUUCAAUCUGGGUCAGCGCUGGCGACGCGAGAGGGGGCGAGGUGGUCCAAGCUCGAUGGCGUGAAGGGCGGGAAUGAUGCUGGAUUUGGAAGAACAAUGGUGGAUGCUGAGGUCGACGUAGACGCCGGCCCACAACUCGCGUCGUUGGGCUAAUCGGCGACCUCGGCGCCCAGUCCGCCACUCAGCCCAGUCCUACCUCGUCGGCCGGCUCCUCCCCACUGUUGUGAUAUUCCCCUCGCCAGCAGCUCGUGUGGAAUUAGCUGCCGCAGUGUGGCGAUCACCAGUAAACCAGCUCAGAGCUGAGACUACUCUAUUCUUGAAAUUAAGAGAGCUACAGAGACAUAAACUUCCACUGAUUUUACUUGUGAGCAUGUUGUAAGGUUAGGAGGUUGGACAAAAGUACUUUGUGUAUGGUUCAAGAUUCAAAGCCCACUGGAGUAUCAGAUAUACUCAAGCAAGAAUGUGCAAAUACUAACUUAUAGGAUAUUGGGCAAUUUUGCAGGCAGUCGUUGUUUCAAAUGGAGAGAAGUGUUGCCGAAGGAGGAAUGAUGAGUCUGAAAGGGCUUGCAUAGUUACAAUCAUGUGUAUACCUUUUGUCUUCUGUUGUUGUAGUGCUUGAGCAGUUAAGUGAGGCAUGCGUUUUACUUGUACUCGUUGCUGCUGUGAAAAAAAUAUUGUCUCACUCCAUUAUGCUCCCGGAUUGCUCAAUUUGACCUCUAUAGUGAUGCUUGAAAUAUUUUGUUUGCCACUCUAUUUUGUUAA